rnacentral:rRNA from 1 species
CGGCCGCGUCGACCGCGGACAACGCGGAGGAAGGCGGGGAUGACGUCAAGUCAUCAUGCCCCUUACGUCUUGGGCUACACACGUACUACAAUGGGAUGAACAGAGGGAAGCAAAAUCGCGAGGUGGAGCGGAUCCCUAAAAGCAUCUCUCAGUUCGGAUUGUAGGCUGAAACCCGCCUACAUGAAGUCGGAAUCGCUAGUAAUCGCAGGUCAGCAUACUGCGGUGAAUACGUUCCCGGGCCUUGU